AUUGAACGCUGGCGGCAUGCCUUACACAUGCAAGUCGAACGGCAGCACGGGGCAACCUGGUGGCGAGUGGCGAACGGGUGAGUAAUGCAUCGGAACGUACCUUUCAGUGGGGGAUAACGUAGCGAAAGUUACGCUAAUACCGCAUAUUCUGUGAGCAGGAAAGCAGGGGAUCGCAAGACCUUGCGCUGAUUGAGCGGCCGAUGUCAGAUUAGCUAGUUGGUGAGGUAAAGGCUCACCAAGGCGACGAUCUGUAGCGGGUCUGAGAGGAUGAUCCGCCACACUGGAACUGAGACACGGUCCAGACUCCUACGGGAGGCAGCAGUGGGGAAUUUUGGACAAUGGGGGCAACCCUGAUCCAGCCAUGCCGCGUGAGUGAAGAAGGCCUUCGGGUUGUAAAGCUCUUUCGGCCGGGAAGAAAUCGCACGGGCUAAUACCCUGUGUGGAUGACGGUACCGACAGAAUAAGCACCGGCUAACUUCGUGCCAGCAGCCGCCGUAAGAC
rnacentral:rRNA from 1 species